CUCUCUUCCUCGUAUCUGGGGUGGAAGAUGUGAGCUCUCAGCUGGCUGUUCCAGCUGCUCUGCCUGCUGCCUGCUGCCUGAUGCCACACCAUCCCCACCAUCAUGACCUCUAACCCUCUGGAACCAGAGGGCCACAUAAACUUGUCUUCUGGUCAAACCCAGGGACUCUCCUUUGCUAGACCAGCACAGUCCCGCGUCUCUACAUCCCCUUCGUCAUUUUUACGUGUCGGGAAUUGUUCCUAUGGCAACUUAGGGCUCGAUUUCCAUCGAUAGCCAAGUGCACCUGGAAAAUGUGUCCCAGAUAGUUCUACGUCAACUCGACACAAGUGGGUCGUUUUGAAAGAGAGGAACUCCAGUUGAGAAGACACGCCCAUGGCUGCCCUGGAUGCAAAGGUUCUGCUUCAGUCCCUGCUUCCAGUGUCCGCCUCGAGUUCCUGUCUUCCCUGGGUGAUGGACGACAAGCUGUAAGACUGAAAUAAGCCUGUUCAUUUCUGAAAUGCCUUUGGCUUUGGUUUCGUUUAUCACGGCAACAGAAGCCCUACCUAAGACAGUACCCAUUCCUGAUUUAGGAUUGGAUUGUUACCUUGAUUUUUUUAAAGAGAUAUUUACUUAUUAGCAUGUAUGUGUGACAGAGAAGGUGAGGGAAGAGAAAGGGAGAAAUAGAGAGAGAAGGAAGUGGAGAGGAGGUGGGGUGUUCAUGUAGAUAUCAAAGGACAACUUCAUGCCGUUGGGUUCCAAGGAUUGAAUUUGAGACGUGUGUGGCACACUCCUUUACCUGCUGAACCAUCUUGCCACCCCCUUUGUUUUCUUCUCUAAGAACCUUGCUAUAUAGUCUAGACCAGCUUUGAAUUUCUAGUCCUGCUCGUGCCUUAGACUAUUGAGUGCCACCACACCAGGCUGAAAAGUUAUUCAUGCUGAAUUCACUUGUACAGAGGCUGAGGUUUUGCUUUUUAUUCAGUACUUUUUUGCUUGGGUUAUGUUCUGAGACAGGGUCUCAUGUAGCUCCCCUUCUAUGAGCAGCCAAGUCCGAUUCUUUCCCGAUCCCUUCUCCACUUCCCAAGUGUUGGGAUUACAGGCACCUGUCGCCACACUCUGCCUUCAAAAGCCAUACGGAAAGGGAAAGUUAGGAUUUGCCAAGCAACUGAUUGUCAGCCUAAGUUACAGCACCCUGAAAGUACUGGUUUCUGCGGCAUGUAGAGGAAAAAGAAAGUCUACAACCGUCCAAGGGCCCACCACUCGAUGGGCACAUGCUGGGGUCUCGGGGCAGAGAUCAAGCCAGAGGGAUGCAGGCUGGUCACCGGAUGGUUCUCACACAGUAGUGAAAGAGAUAGACAGACCCGAGGUAAGCAUUAAAGCAUGUCCCUGUGAAGGGGAAGUCGGGGAGAGACAAAAGAAACAAGAAGAUGAUGCAUUGAAUACGUAUUUCACAAUGAGGUCGAGGGAGAAUGUGGAACAGAGUCCGGGGAGCCGGAGAAAUUGACCAAAGACAGGACCCGCAAGGGGAGCAGGACACAGUGUGGCUGGGGUAGAGCAACCACGUGCAAAGAGGCAGACAGUCAUUGCCCAAGUGUCAGUGACUCAGGUCGCGCUGGAGGUCAGACGCCAGAGACCAUCAAAACCGUGGGGUGUGCGACAGGACUGUUGACUCUGAAGACCUAGCACACACACCAAGGGACUGCUGCCAAGGGGGGUCUUUGCUCCCUGACAGUGAUGGGCAAUGGCCAGACUCAGUUGUUGACACUUUUGGGUACAUCUUCGAACACUCAGUAAUUAGCACAAGAGAUCAUUUCCCUGUGUGCAGACUGCCUUCGCUCUGGCUACUGUAAUUUGGGAAAGACCAAACACAUGAAAAAUGCUGAGAAUUAAUUCCUAGUGAGCCGAUCAAUAGCCCCUCAUGGUUGUCAACACAGAACAGGACACUGGAUUCAGGGGAGCAUGCGCUGGAAAUCCGGGUAAACGACAAACCAGUCCUUUUCAUUUUUCGUUUCGUUUUUGUUUUUUUUUCCCCAGAAUUAAUGACCUUGCGUUGCAAUUUAGUUUUAAUUUUAUCUCAGAAACGAAAGAAUUUUGUAGUUAUUCUGUUUUCCCUCAGAAUAGAAAGUGAACCCACCCCCAACACACACUCCUGGUUCCAGAUUAGUCACCCCCUGGGGAAUGGCUCCUGAGCUGCCAGGAGGUAGGAGCUUCCAAGGAAAUAAGUAGAGCAGAAAGGGUUCUGGAGGAGCAUGCAUCACUCUGCAUCGGAGAUUCAAAGAAAGGAGCUCUGACUGUAGGGGGAAUAAAAGUAUGCUUCGGUUAAUGAUAGAAACGAGCGAACUCCAACCCUCCACCAUUGGAGACUUCCCUCACCUGGCGUGAGCCAGGACGCCAUCAGACCUCCAUCUGGACAUCUUAACCGGUGCUGCGGUUCUGAGUCUUAGGAAGUAUGUCCUUCCCUGCCUAGAAUCUGAGCCACUGUUUUAUCAAGGCCCAAGGCCGUAACUUACAACCAGGUUACAAUAAACAUUGGUCCUUUCAGGGACCUGUUUUUUGACCGGGUGGUUAGAAAAUUUUAUUUUCAUUCAGAUGUGGCCACAACAUUGGCAAUUAAAUGGCAUUCUAGAGGCAUUCUAAGGGAAUCACAUGAAGAAAAAUCUUAAUGACUUUCUUCCUCUGGUCUUCCAGUACUCGUCUGGCUUCCCCUUCACUGUGUAAGAUCAUACAGAUAACCACCCAUCCCUUGUGAAAAGGUAACUCCGGGUCACUGAUUGACAGAGUGAUUGCUCUUCAUUUCAAUCGUGAUUUUUUUUUCCCAGAAAAAGAAAGUUCUUUGGAUGGAAAAGGCUGAACCUCCCUUGGAAAAGGUUCUCUGAACUCAUUCUAUUUCAAAAAAAAAAACCCACAUCCCACCAAAAUAAGGACUGUUUGCAGUCACCCUCCCUCUCAACAUCUAAGAUCAGAAUAAUGAAAAGCUCUGUGCCUCCCUGACUGAAGGCUGACAUUCUGUCCUUCAUGGAUAAGUUACUAGUCAUAGAGGGAAGUGAAGAAAUAAUUUUCAGAGCUGCUAUUGAUCUGGUAUUGCAUUAACUGUCUGCUGAGCCAAGCUAUUUAUUGACUAAGUGCUUGCCGGCCACUUCAAUUAGCUUAGCUUUCCCCAGCAGAUCUGAGGGUGGGGCCAAGAAGACAACAGAAUGGCGUUCUCCAAACUGUCGUGGAGCUAUCUAUCAGUGUGACCCCGAAAGUCUUUCUUGUUUUCCAAUCGCAUUUUAAUGUUUGGAUUUGACUUUUAGUCUUAAUGGGAGGAUAUGAAACUUUCCCUUGAGACAAUCUGCUCAAACACAUGGUUCAUUGCUUCUUCCUUGUACAGAGUCAAAUACCUAUUUCAACUUGCAGAUCACACCCCACCUAGGAUUUCUUACAGAAAUUUCUCGGGCAUUGGAGCCAGGACCUUUUGUAACUAGGCAAAUACUCUACUACAGGUCCAUGUCUCCAGACCUUCUCAUUUCCCCUGUAGACAUUAACUUGAUUUUAAAAAUAGUUUCUUGGGAUCCACUCCUUUAUUUACAUUCACUCUUUGAGGCGAUUUAGAACACAUCAAGGACCCAUCCAUUUUUGCCGAAAUCCUAAGUGGAUAGUAUGGCAUAGUUCUGCAAACUGAGAAACCCAUGUCCCUAGCAUCACAGGACCCAAAGUGGAAUGUCACUUAUCUCUACAACAAAUGUAAUGUGGAUCAGUUUUGCUUAUCUUUGAUGUUCUUAUAAGUGGAAUAUUAUACUGUGUAAGCUUUUAUUUCCAACUUUGUUAAUAUCCAGUCAAGGACACAGUGUGGAGGUUAGGUAAAUGUGCAAUUAUAUCUGUACUGUAUGUAGAUAUAUGUGUGUGUGCAAAUAAUAUGUAAUACACACACACACAUAUAUAUAUAUAUAUAUAUAUAAUUAUAUAUAGCUGGUGUUUCACAGGUACUUGUAGAAACCAAAGCCCCAACUCUCAUCCUUUAUUAAGAGAGGCUCAGGCAAACCAAGCUACUACAGACAAUCCUGGACAGCAAGCUUUAAGUAGAAUCUGCAUCUGAAAUUGCUUCAGGAACACUUUCAAAAGUCUGCAUGAACCCCAGUCCAGCAGAAUAAUAGUAAACACGCUCAUGAUUUCAGGUUUGACACAAAUGCAUCCCUGCCUGUGGUAUUACAGUGACUCCCUCCUUUAGAAACUUUGCAAACAUUUUUCUAAGCUUCUUAAAUUCCCUGCAGCCUACAGCUACUAUAUAAAUAUUCAUGGUAUUUUUCCACAGCAAAAGAUUGCUUCCUUUCUUGGCUUCUCAUAAGCAAACCAGCGAGAGACUUUACUGCAGCAAGAUGCAAAACACAAUCAUAUUUUAUUUGAACAUCAAUUUUAAAAGCAACUCUUCGUAAUUUCUGGAACUGGUAAUCAGAGAGCAGAAUAUUAAUGAGACAACAUCGGAUACAUUAGCUUUUAUGGCAGGGAUUUGCUUCUCCUGAAAAUAAAAAUAACCUGGGCUAAAA